rnacentral:tRNA from 2 species
ACUACUUUGACAGAUUUAUUGUGAUAAAUUUAGAAUUUAUUAAAGUAAUAUAUAUUACAGGUAGUA